rnacentral:lncRNA from 1 species
GUCAUACCAAUACGCUGGUUGUGGUAGAUAUGCUGGAUAAUACUCCAUCUUGUUCACCUCCACCUUGGGAGCACUCUCCUUCUUCCCACCAUCACCACCGCCGUCUUUCUUCUCUCCGCCGCCGGCGGCUUCUUUUUCCUUCUUCUCGCCUGCACCGCCGUCUUUCUGCCCGCCGGCCGGAGCUGCGGCGGCGGGCUUGUCGUCCUUCUUAGCUCCUUCAUCUUUCUUGGGUAGUGCUCCGUCGUCUUUCUUCGGUGGAACCACCUCCACAUUUCUCUUGAGCUUACCCUUGAGAUAAGGAACCAGCUCGUUGACCUCCAUUAUUCCCUUCACCGUCACUAGAUCCUUGCCUCCCUCUAUCGUCACCAUCGCCACACCUGUUAAUUUUAACAUUAUCGUUAGUUAACCUCGAAUUAUUAUUAAAUUAAUCAGCUACCUAAUCUUCUCUCCCCAUUUUUUAAUUAAAAUUUACGUAGUUUGAUUGAUUAAGAAGCUUCAGUGCUUGCAUCAUCCUGAGAGUCUCAGGAGAUUACUUUAAUCACUGUUCAGAGUAUUACUUCAACUCAGUUUAGUAUAAUAUAACCUUAACUAAAAAAAUGAACGAUCUCUCUCACCUUUGAUCUUUGAGAUGAUCCUUUUGAUUUUCUGAAUGCAUCCGUCGCAGUGUAAUCUGAUCUUCAGAACCACCGUACUCUGUUUCACCGGAAAAUUCAACACAAAUUAGCUGUGCAUGCCGCUUAAAUUCAGCAACAUUCAUUAAUCAAACAAAACCAUUCAACAAGAAAUCGAUGGAUGGAACGAGUUCCCACAUGGCUAACAGGCGCCGCAUGCAACGGCGAAAAGUAGCUAAACGAAUGGAGAGAGGAGUAGAAAGAGAUUCAUGUACCGCAUACCUCUUUGGGGGUUUUUUUCUCUUCCUCCUUCUUUUCCUCUUUCUUCUCCUCCGGCUUCUUGUCUUCUUUUUUCUCGUCGGGUUUUUUGUCGUCUUUUUUAGGCUGAGGAGAGAUAAGGUCUACUUUCUUCUUCAUUUUCUCCUGCAAUUUCUGUUGGAUUUUAGCUGGGUCCACCUUCCCAACCACCGUCAGUUUGUUGGCUACAGUGUCUGCCUUCACAUCUUCCACACCUUCACCAGAUUAACAACGAAAAUUCAUGUUAGGUGUGGUUGGAAAUUGGAAUUUUCUUCACGCCAAUUUUCAUGAAUAAACACCAUUAAUCAAAACUCUAAUUAUGUACAGAAACCCUCUUUUAUCUGCAAUUCUUGUCCAGUCCCAAUUUCUUACGCUUUGAAUACAAAAAUUCAACGGAUCACUUUUCCUUUUUAAAACAAAUACUCCAUAUUCAGAUUUCAUUUAUCAAUUGUAGAAUAUAUAUACAAUAACAGGCAGGAUCCGAAUAUGUAUUCAAUUUUACGAGCAACGACAUCAUUAAUUAAGGUGGAAAUUAGGAAAUUAGGAUUGACUACAUUUCCAAUAUGAUUAGAUGAAAUUUU